rnacentral:lncRNA from 1 species
AUAAGUUCAAUAUUACAAAUAUAUGUUAAUUAGUAAUCAGAUUAAAAUAAAAUUAGAUUAAAUUAAAAAUUAUUAUAAUAUAAAAUGAACCGCAAAAUAGAGAUAAUGAAAAUUUUCGAAAAAUAUAUUAUGGUGUGGUGUUUUAAUGUACCACUAGAAUGGAUUACACUAACUUGAUACAAGGCUGGAGAUAUCCUAAUUAAACAAAAUUUCAAAUAGGGCAAUCUACGAAUUGAAUUUUGAUUCGAAAAAAUUAGGGUCUCAAUCCAAUAACCCGAACUAUCCAAUUUGUUAUAAUAAUAUAAUAUAUUUUAUAUAUUACAGCAUAAUUUAUUACACAAUUUUUUCAUUUUGAGACGUGUAUAUUUUAUGGGUUUUUUGAAUAAUGUCAAACUGAUCAAAUUUCAACAUAAAAUUAGUAAAUUAUAAUAAAUAUUGCAAUCAAAUUGAAAAUCGACUCUUUCAAUGAAAAAAGAAUGUGUAAAAUGUUUCGGAUCGGAUUAUUGGAUUGAAUCGAAUAUUUGAUAUCAUAACAAAUCGAAUAUGAAUUUAACAAUCAAAUACCCAUGAAUUAUCGGAUUGAAUCAAUGAAUUAUUCUUAUCAGAUCGGAUAUGGAAAGAUAUGGAUUGAUCCAGUCCAUAUCCAAUCUAUUUUCAGCCCUAGAUGCAAAUAACUAAUAAAGUUAACUUUCAACGCACUAAACAGAAAAUAGCUACGCGUGUUAAGAUGCCUCCCGAAAAUUCUGGAUUUUUUAGAGGCCAAAAACUUGUGAGAUUUUAAGUAUAUUCAUCUAAAUUCUAACAUUCAAAUGAAAUUUCAAUACUGAAAAUAUAAAACCAUGAGAGUGAGGUUAAGAAAAUAUUAUGAGAAGGCUAAACGAACUCAGUAGCCAAUUAUUUACCAUCCACAACUUCGGACUGAAUCUGGAUCUGAAAGAUGAUGAAACAGAGCAAUUUCACGAAACUCGUCUCUCCUUAGUGUAGUUCCAACCCGUCUCUACCAGUUGCCACAGAUUCUACUCACUUACACGCGCAGAUGAUGAAGAGAAGUGCUCUAAACUUUCCCGAUUGUAUAAAAUCUAUCACAAUUGGGAGAGACUGGUUGAAAUACAAAGGAUCCGCUUACGCCUUCUGCUUAUGUUUUUGGUGGAAAUGUCAGUGUUCCUAUAAAUGAAAAUUUUAGGGUUAGUGAUCUACGUGAAGUUCUUGAAGUUGGGCUGUGUGUAGUUGGACUUGGCCCAAUAAGUAUUUAGCUACACGAUUUUACGACGUCGUAUUUAUGUCCUGUCCCAAUUUUUUCUUUUUCAGUUUCUAUUGUUACUUGUUUUUAUAUGAAUCUUACC